UACGAAGGGGGCUAGCGUUGCUCGGAAUUACUGGGCGUAAAGCGCACGUAGGCGGCUUCUUAAGUCGGUGGUGAAAUCCUGGAGCUCAACUCCAGAACUGCCUUCGAUACUGGGGAGCUCGAGUCCGGGAGAGGUGAGUGGAACUGCGAGUGUAGAGGUGAAAUUCGUAGAUAUUCGCAAGAACACCAGUGGCGAAGGCGGCUCACUGGCCCGGUACU
rnacentral:rRNA from 1 species